CCUACGGGAGGCUGCAGUAGGGAAUAUUGCUCAAUGGGGGAAACCCUGAAGCAGCAACGCCGCGUGGAGGAUGAAGGUUUUCGGAUUGUAAACUCCUUUUGUUAGAGAAGAUAAUGACGGUAUCUAACGAAUAAGCACCGGCGAACUCCGUGCCAGCAGCCGCGGUAAUACGGAGGGUGCAAGCGUUACUCGGAAUCACUGGUCGUAAAGCGCGCGUAGGCGGGAUAGCAAGUCAGAUGUGAAAUCCUAUGGCUUAACCAUAGAACUGCAUUUGAAACUGUUAUUCUAGAGUAUGGGAGAGGUAGGUGGAAUUCUUGGUGUAGGGGUAAAAUCCGUAGAGAUCAAGAGGAAUACUCAUUGCGAAGGCGACCUGCUAGAACAUAACUGACGCUGAUGCGCGAAAGCGUGGGGAGCAAACAGGAUUAGAUACCCUAGUAGUC
rnacentral:rRNA from 1 species